CCCUCAUGGGGGGGUCCUAGUAAUCACAUAAUCACCAUUUUUUUGCCAAUAUAAUCACAUAAUCAUUAAAUAUUUGCUUAUAUUUAGUAAUCAAAUAAUCAUAAACUAAAAAUACAGUCCUAGGUAAUCAAAUAAUCAUGAAAUAUUUGGCUUAAUAAUCAAAUAAUCAUUAAAAAAACGGCCAAGUAAUCACAUAAUCAAAAACCCCAUGAGGGCCCUCAUUAUUG
rnacentral:lncRNA from 1 species